rnacentral:rRNA from 1 species
AAGAGAGUUUGGAUUCCUGGGCUUAAGAAUGAAACGCCUGCGGGCAUUGCCUUACACAUGCCAAGUCGAACGGCAGCACGGACCUUCGGGUCUGGUGGCCGAGUUGGCGAACCGGGUGAGUAAAUAUAUCGGAACGUGCCCUGGAGUGGGGGAUAACUAGUCGAAAGAUUAGCUAAUACCGCAUACGAUCUAGGGAUGAAAGUGGGGGAUCGCAAGACCUCAUGCUCGUGGAGCGGCCGAUAUCUGAUUAGCUAGUUGGUGGGGUAAAAGCCUACCAAGGCGUCGAUCAGUAGCUGGUCUGAGAGGACGACCAGCCACACUGGGACUGAGACACGGCCCAGACUCCUACGGGAGGCAGCAGUGGGGAAUUUUGGACAAUGGGGGCAACCCUGAUCCAGCAAUGCCGCGUGAGUGAAGAAGGCCUUCGGGUUGUAAAGCUCUUUUGUCAGGGAAGAAACGGUGGGAGCUAAUAUCUCCUGCUAAUGACGGUACCUGAAGAAUAAGCACCGGCUAACUACGUGCCAGCAGCCGCGGUAAUACGUAGGGUGCAAGCGUUAAUCGGAAUUACUGGGCGUAAAGCGUGCGCAGGCGGUUGUGCAAGACAGAUGUGAAAUCCCCGGGCUCAACCUGGGAAUUGCAUUUGUGACUGCACGGCUAGAGUGUGUCAGAGGGGGGUAGAAUUCCACGUGUAGCAGUGAAAUGCGUAGAGAUGUGGAGGAAUACCGAUGGCGAAGGCAGCCCCCUGGGAUAACACUGACGCUCAUGCACGAAAGCGUGGGGAGCAAACAGGAUUAGAUACCCUGGUAGUCCACGCCCUAAACGAUGUCAACUAGUUGUCGGGUCUUAAUUGACUUGGUAACGCAGCUAACGCGUGAAGUUGACCGCCUGGGGAGUACGGUCGCAAGAUUAAAACUCAAAGGAAUUGACGGGGACCCGCACAAGCGGUGGAUGAUGUGGAUUAAUUCGAUGCAACGCGAAAAACCUUACCUACCCUUGACAUGGCAGGAAUCCCGGAGAGAUCUGGGAGUGCUCGAAAGAGAACCUGCACACAAGUGCUGCAUGGCUGUCGUCAGCUCGUGUCGUGAGAUGAAAAAAGUAAGUCCCGCAACGAGCGCAACCCUUGUCAUUUGUUGCUACGAAAGGGCACUCUAAUGAGACUGCCGGUGACAAACCGGAGGAAGGUGGGGAUGACGUCAAGUCCUCAUGGCCCUUAUGGGUAGGGCUUCACACGUCAUACAAUGGUACAUACAGAGGGCCGCCAACCCGCGAGGGGGAGAUAAUCCCAGAAAGUGUAUGGUAGUCCGGAUUGGAGUCUGCAACUCGAUCCAUGAAGUUGGAAUCGCUAGUAAUCGCGGAUCAGCAUGUCGCGGUGAAUACGUUCCUCGGGUCUUGUAAUACAACCGCACCUGUUCAAAAAAAAAACCCA